GACGAACGCUGGCGGCGUGCCUAAUGCAUGCAAGUUGAGCGCUGAAGGUUGGUACUUGUACCAACUGGAUGAGCAGCGAACGGGUGAGUAACGCGUGGGGAAUCUGCCUUUGAGCGGGGGACAACAUUUGGAAACGAAUGCUAAUACCGCAUAAAAACUUUAAACACAAGUUUUAAGUUUGAAAGAUGCAAUUGCAUCACUCAAAGAUGAUCCCGCGUUGUAUUAGCUAGUUGGUGGGGUAAAGGCUCACCAAGGCGAUGAUACAUAGCCGACCUGAGAGGGUGAUCGGCCACAUUGGGACUGAGACACGGCCCAAACUCCUACGGGAGGCAGCAGUAGGGAAUCUUCGGCAAUGGACGAAAGUCUGACCGAGCAACGCCGCGUGAGUGAAGAAGGUUUUCGGAUCGUAAAACUCUGUUGGUAGAGAAGAACGUUGGUGAGAGUGGAAAGCUCAUCAAGUGACGGUAACUACCCAGAAAGGGACGGCUAACUACGUG
rnacentral:rRNA from 1 species